CGUGUGAUCCCUGGUAUAAGCUUGAAUCUCAAAGGAAGGAUGAAAAGGAGCCUUCGGUGGAGAUCCGAAGUGGCCUUUCAGUCUUGGGCACAGCUGCGGGGAUCAGAGUGUAUUGUAUUGCUCACACUGGGGGUUAUAAAGAAGACUCUAGCAGAUACUUAGAGACCAGUCCACGGCCAGCAGAACUGACUCUCAAUGCAACAGCCUGAGCACAACCUGGGACAGAAUGCCAGCAAGACAACACUCUCCUCUGGGCCCCUGGGACUCCAGGACAGCGGACAUUUAUUAUUU
rnacentral:lncRNA from 1 species